rnacentral:rRNA from 2 species
GCUUGUCUCAAAAGAUUAAGCCAUGCAUGUCUCAGUACAAGCCAAAUUAAGGUGAAACCGCGAAAGGCUCAUUAAAUCAGUUAUGGUUCCUUAGAUCGUACCCACAAUUACUUGGAUAACUGUGGUAAUUCUAGAGCUAAUACAUGCAAACAGAGCUCCGACCGGAGACGGAAGGAGUGCUUUUAUUAGAUCAAAACCAAUCGGUGGCGGGCUCGUCAUCGUACAACUUGGUGACUCUGAAUAACUUUACGCUGAUCGCACGGUCAUCGCACCGGCGACGCAUCUUUCAAAUGUCUGCCUUAUCAACUGUCGAUGGUAGGUUCUGCGCCUACCAUGGUUGUAACGGGUAACGGGGAAUCAGGGUUCGAUUCCGGAGAGGGAGCCUGAGAAACGGCUACCACAUCCAAGGAAGGCAGCAGGCGCGCAAAUUACCCACUCCCGGCACGGGGAGGUAGUGACGAAAAAUAACGAUACGGGACUCAUCCGAGGCCCCGUAAUCGGAAUGAGUACACUCUAAACCCUUUAACGAGGAUCAAUUGGAGGGCAAGUCUGGUGCCAGCAGCCGCGGUA